GAAGCAGGCCGGGCAGCCGCUGCCGGGCGCAAGCCCGGGAGAGGAAGGUCCGGACUCCAUAGAGCAGGGUGACGGCUAACGGCCGUGCGCUGAAACCCGCAAGGGAUAAGGCGACGAACAGGGCCACAGAGACGAGCCAGUUCAGUCUGGGGUGAAACGCGGUAACCUCCACCCGGAGCAACACCAAAUAGGCACGCAAUGACGCGGCUCGCGGAGCGUGCGGGUAGGUGGCUUGAGCGGCGCAGCAAUGCGCCGCCUAGAGGAAUGGCUGCCAUAGAACAAGGCGACUUGUUCCGUAACAGAAUCCGGCCUACAGGCCUGCUUUCAAC
rnacentral:RNase_P_RNA from 1 species